CCCCGAGGGGCCUCCUGCCCCAGGGCCUGUCAACAGGGACAGGGACCCGACCGGAGGCAGAGUCCCUGGAGGCCCUGUGUCGGUCUCCCUGGCGAGCGAACCCCCUCCUUCUCUGGCAGGGACAUCUUUGACGUUGACUUCCUGUCGUCAGAGGAUUCGGACAACUCUUCCAACGAAGACGUGGACGUGGAGGGCAUCUCCGUGCAGGUCUGUGCCGGCCAGGCCUCCGGGAGGUGACCUCGUGGGGGCGCCGACUUCGGUUCUGGAGGGUGCCCGGGGCGGGGGGCUGCCUUCCCCAGCCACGGCCCCUGGAGGCGGGACGGCUCGUCUGCCACGGGGCCUCCGGGUGACGCCGUGGCCGCUGUGCCCGUGCGGGUGCGCGCGUGUCCUUCUGGGUGCUCCCCGGAGAUCCAACUCCUGGUCUGCCGGCUCGGCGGGUCCGGGUGGGUCCGGGCGGUGGUGUGCACAGCUUUCCGUUUGUCCGUCCGUGUGUCUGUGUGUGGGUCCUGAGGGCUGUCUGUCCGUCCCCAGGGAGGAUCCGACUGAAGAGGAAACCCCCCACCCCGUGAGGAGCUCCCCCUCCGUUGCUGUGUUCUGUCCCCCGUGGCCACCCACUCCUGGGGUCAGGGAGCCGGUGGCCUCCGAGUUCGGCCGACCCGGGCCCUCCAGGUCUCUAGGCAAUGACAGCGACCCCUGCCAUCCGCACCUGUGGAUCCGAACCCCUUCUGUGGGGAGAGGGC
rnacentral:lncRNA from 1 species